UACGUAGGGGGCAAGCGUUGUCCGGAAUCAUUGGGCGUAAAGAGCGUGUAGGCGGCCCGGUCAGUCCGCCGUGAAAGUCCAGGGCUCAACCCUGGAAUGCCGGUGGAUACUGCCGGGCUGGAGUCCGGAAGAGGCGAGUGGAAUUCCUGGUGUAGCGGUGAAAUGCGCAGAUAUCAGGAAGAACACCAAUGGCGAAAGCAGCUCUCUGGGACGGUACUGACGCUGAGACGCGAAAGCGUGGGGAGCGAACAGG
rnacentral:rRNA from 1 species